AGCAGCCACUCAUUAAAAGAGUGCGUAAUAGCUCACUGGUCGAGUGACUCUGCGCCGAAAAUUUAACGGGGCUAAACUAUACACCGAAGCUUGGGAUACAUCUAAUGUAUGGUAGGAGAGCGUUCUGUAUGGGGAGAAGUCGUAGCGAAAGCGGCGGUGGACUAUACAGAAGUGAGAAUGCCGGAAUAAGUAGCGAGAAUUAAGUGAGAAUCUUAAUGGCCGAAAGUCUAAGGUUUUUGGAGGAAGGUUCGUCCGCUCCAAGUAAGUCGGGAGCUAAGGUCAGGCCGAAAGGCGUAGCCGAUGCACAUACGGUUGAUAUUCCGUAACCAUCUGUAAUUUAAGCAAAGGGACACUUCAAAAGGGUGUGACCCGGGCGUUGGUUGACCCGGGCGUAAGGGACCGAAAUUAGAGUAGGGAAGCACACUUAGCUGAAGGCGAGAAAAGCUUUGCGUAUAGAAACAGAUGCCCGUACCGCAAACCGACACAGGUGGACAGGAAGAGAAUUCUAAGGCCAGCGGGAGAAGGGUAGUUAAGGAACUCGGCAAAUUGACUCCGUAACUUCGGAAUAAGGAGUGCUCGAAAGAGCCGCAGAGAAUAGGCCCAGGCGACUGUUUAGCAAAAACACAGGUCUCUGCCAAAUCGAAAGAUGAAGUAUAGGGGCUGACACCUGCCCGGUGCCGGAAGGUUAAGAGGAGGAGUGAGAGCUCCGAAUUGAAGCCCCGGUAAACGGCGGCCGUAACUAUAACGGUCCUAAGGUAGCGAAAUUCCUUGUCGGGUAAGUUCCGACCCGCACGAAUGGUGUAACGAUCUGGGCACUGUCUCAACUACCCACCCGGCGAAAUUGUAGUACCGGUGAAGAUGCCGGUUACCUGCGGCAAGACGGAAAGACCCCAUGGAGCUUUACUGUAGCCUGAUAUUGGGUUUCGGAAAUCUAUGUACAGGAUAGGCGGGAGACUGGGAAACAUGAGCGUCAGCUUGUGUGGAGUCGAUGUUGGGAUACCGCCCUUAGGUUUCUGGAAUUCUAACCUGCGGCCGUGAAUCCGGUCGGGGGACAUUGUCAGGUGGGCAGUUUGACUGGGGCGGUCGCCUCCGAAAAGGUAACGGAGGCGCUCAAAGGUUAGCUCAGCACGGACGGAAACCGUGCCUCUGAGUGUAAACGCAAAAGCUAGCCUAACUGCGAGGGUGACGGCCCGAGCAGUAACGAAAGUUGGAGUUAGUGAUCCGGCGGUAUGUGAAUGGAAAUGCC
rnacentral:rRNA from 1 species